rnacentral:rRNA from 1 species
UACGGGGGGGGCAAGCGUUGUUCGGAAUUACUGGGCGUAAAGGGCGCGUAGGCGGUCUGCUAAGUUGGGUGUGAAAACUCUGGGCUUAACCCAGAGCCUGCACUCAAAACUGACAGUCUAGAGUUCUGGAGGGGAUAGCGGAAUUCCUGGUGUAGCGGUGAAAUGCGUAGAUAUCAGGAGGAACACCGGUGGCGAAGGCGGCUAUCUGGACAGAGUCUGACGCUGAGGCGCGAAAGCUAGGGGAGCAAACAGG